rnacentral:rRNA from 1 species
AUUGAACGCUGGCGGCAGGCCUAACACAUGCAAGUCGAGCGGAGCGGCGGACGGGUGAGUAAUGCCUAGGAAUCUGCCUGGUAGUGGGGGAUAACGUUCGGAAAUGGGCGCUAAUACCGAUUACUAUUAGCUUAGGCUAGGUCGGAUUAGCUUGUUGGUGGGGUAAAGGCAUACCAAGGCGACGAUCCGUAACUGGUCCGAGAGGAUGAUCAGUAACCCUGGAACUGAGACACGGUCCAGACUCCUACGGGAGGCAGCAGUGGGGAAUAUUGGACAAUGGGCGAAAGCCUGAUCCAGCCAUGCCGCGUGUGUGAAGAUGGUCUUCGGAUUGUAAAGCACUUUAAGUUGGGAGGCGUUACCAACAGAAUAAGCACCGGCUAACUUCGUGCCAGCAGCCGCGGUAAUAC